rnacentral:ncRNA from 14 species
GUUAGCUCAGUUGGUUAGAGCGUUGGUCUUAUGAGCCGAAGGUCAUGGGUUCGAGCCCCAUA